CGCCACGUUAACUGGUCCAGUGCUAA
rnacentral:sRNA from 1 species